rnacentral:rRNA from 1 species
GAUGAACGCUGGCGGCGUGCCUAAUACAUGCAAGUCGAGCGAACAGACGAGGAGCUUGCUCCUCUGACGUUAGCGGCGGACGGGUGAGUAACACGUGGAUAACCUACCUAUAAGACUGGGAUAACUUCGGGAAACCGGAGCUAAUACCGGAUAAUAUAUUGAACCGCAUGGUUCAAUAGUGAAAGACGGUUUUGCUGUCACUUAUAGAUGGAUCCGCGCCGCAUUAGCUAGUUGGUAAGGUAACGGCCUACCAAGGCAACGAUGCGUAGCCGACCUGAGAGGGUGAUCGGCCACACUGGAACUGAGACACGGUCCAGACUCCUACGGGAGGCAGCAGUAGGGAAUCUUCCGCAAUGGGCGAAAGCCUGACGGAGCAACGCCGCGUGAGUGAUGAAGGUCUUCGGAUCGUAAAACUCUGUUAUUAGGGAAGAACAAAUGUGUAAGUAGCUAUGCACGUCUUGACGGUACCUAAUCAGAAAGCCACGGCUAACUACGUG